UACGGGGGGUGCGAGCGUUGUCCGGAAUCACUGGGCGUAAAGGGCGCGUAGGUGGUUUGAUAAGGGUGUGGUGAAAGCCCGGGGCUCAACCCCGGGUCUGCCGUGCCGACUGUCAAACUCGAGGGCUGUAGAGGCAGACGGAAUUCCUGGUGUAGCGGUGAAAUGCGCAGAUAUCAGGAGGAACACCGAUGGCGAAGGCAGGUCUCUGGGCAUUAACUGACGCUGAGGAGCGAAAGCAUGGGGAGCGAACAGG
rnacentral:rRNA from 1 species